CGCGAGCCGGGCGGGAGGAAGGGCGGGCGGGAGCCGGGCUCGCGCGAGGCGAGGCGAGCAAGCAAGCAGCGGCGAGGAGCGGCGUGCAGCGCCCCCAGCCCGCUCGUCGCGCGGCCGCUGAGGAGAGCGACUUCCCGCGGCCCGGGGCGGAGCGCGCGCCUCCCUCCUCGGCGGCUCCGGGCCACCUCAUCGCGUCCAGAUGUGAAUCUAUGCAGAGGUGCGGUGUCUGUGCUAUCUCCCUCGCCUUCUCCACCCUGUAAGCAUUAAAUGAGUACGUACGUACUCUCGCUUUUCUUUUUCUUUUUGUGUUAAGUUCUAUAGAUGAAAGCAGAACUUUUUGGUGAAAGUGUGAUUUAUUUCUUUUUUCUAAGUUUAUGGUGGCAGCAAAUAAUGUCUUUGCUAUCAAUAGCCAGCUGUCUGUUAGUGCCAUCAUACAGGACUUGCCAAAAGCCCUCCGAGUGGUUCAGUCAGCUGCAUUCCAAAACCAAUCUGCAGUGCAAGGGCAUUUGUCCUCAGCAUUGGAUGUCUUGUGGGCCUGCUUUAAGAAUUGUAGUGGGACUAAGGAUUCUCCAAAGGACACAGCUGGAGUGUUUCUUAUAAGCAAAAUGCUUCUUUCUUCCCUCUCUCCUUAUCUCCAAAUAUAGUUCCAGUGAGUUUAGAUAAGGUACUCUGCUGUGUUUUGCCCCUACUUGUGUUUGGUGUUUCUCUAGAGUUUCUCAUUAUAUAGAAGUAAAACUGACACUUGAAGGAUGAUUCUCUGAUAAAAUGUAUUGGUGUCUUCCUUGUGUAAUUUGACUAUCUUUGUGUUUCACACCAGGUGCUGCAGUAAUGAAGCUUAAAAUGUUCCAAUGUGCUUUUCAAAAACUGAACCAAUCUGCCUACUGUUUUUUCUCAAUUUUACCUUAACUGUUCUACUUGUUUGUUGUGGGUGGUUAGAUGUUUAGGAAAGCCCUCAAAACGUUAGCGUAAAUGAGACAGGUUUAUUUGUAAUCUGUGUCAGACAAUUCAGGUUAGCUCUAUGCUCUCUUCAGUAGAAAUAAUGGAAUUCAAGGCAAAGUUCCUGUGUGCUGGGGGUCCUGCUGCUAUAGAUUUUUAUAUUUUGCAUGUGGGUGUUGUUGUUUUUUUUUUUUGUUUUGUUUUUUGGCUAUGGAUUUAUUUCGGUCUUGUUUAGAAAAUCUGUAACUCUCACCUUCUAUUUUUUUCCUGGUCUUUGAUAUUUAUAAAAACAAAACAAAACAACAAAAAGCCACAUUGUUGUUGUGUUUUGCCCCUGUAAAACUUCUUUUGCUACAAGGAUUCCUUGUAAGGAGUCUUAAUUCAGUUAUUUUAUGUAAUGUCUAACUGAAAACAUUUGCCCUUACUGUAUAAAACUAUUUCAGUAAUCAUAUGUUUCCUUAUCAGGUACUUCAUCACUUCUUUUAAACUGAUAGCAAAACACCUGUAGUUAUUCUAUAUAAGUAACUUGCAUUACUUCAUUAAACAAAGAGAUAAGUUGGAAGAGAUGAUGUUCUGCUAUGGCCUUGUAUGUUAUGGUGUGCGGUUGUUUGUUUUUUUGUAAGUCUGUGUAUUGCCCUGCUGGCACUUUCUUCCAAGCAAGUGUUACAAAGAUGCUGGGUGAGAAAAAUGAUGGGUGCUUAUCUACAAGAGUGGAACUCAAAAAGUGGCUUGAUGAUAUCAAAUUUGCAAAUACAGGUGCUUUAGUUGCAAAUGCUGGUGGAAUAAAGUAAACACUUCUAUGGUAUAAUAGCAGUAAUAUUUUUUAGAGGCUAGGAAUAAAAAUCACUGUAAACAGCUUCUUUCUUUUUCUUUCUUUCUUUUUUUUUUUUUUUUUUUUUUCUCCAAAUAAACUAUUGCAAAAAUAAUUCACAGGCUGGUAAUCAGCACUUACUCUCUUCAUUGUGUUAUUAAAAGAAAAAUGGAAAAAGAUGCGUCUACUAUCUCAAAGAUCUUUACAACUUGGAAAGAGUGUGAAUUUAUAUUUCAUUUUCCCUUCAAAAUUGUUAUUAGAAAUAAAUAAUUUAGAUUUCAGACUUCUUGCGUAGUAGAUGGCGUGAAUAGAUAAUUGAACCUCCUAUGAAACACUCUUUUUUCCUUCUCCUUUGGACAUUUUUUCCUCAGACAUCUAGGAAGCUCAGAAUAGAGCAAAAGUGAGCUCAAGAGCCACUUCCAACCCAUCAGAGCAUCUUGAUUCAAGAUGUUGGUGAGAUUGUGCUUCUAGGAAGAAUGCUUCGUGACCUUGCCAGUUUCCAUGAAGUGUAGGAAAGACCCGCCUUUCAAUUUUUCUGCUUCGAUAUUCUUAAUAGAACAGCUUCUCAUUUUUUAAUCAAUACGCUCAGCUAAUUUCUCAGGCUGGAGUGGCCAUUUUGUAGAAUGAGAUACAGGCUUACAUUUUCAGUGUAAAAAUGGAUGUUCCAAUGGGCUCAUCAUUUUUGAGAAUAUCUUAAGUUCAUUCCAGUGCAAGGUGUGAUUCAGUUUGAAACCUGAAACGUGAAUGUUUUGUAUUGGAUAUUGUUUUGUUUAUCUGGUGGUGGUGGUGUUUUCCCCUCUCUGUUAAUGGUCUUGAGUAGACUUGGAUUUUCUGUUCUAUUCUCAGAAACUGUCCGCAUUUCUCACUAUUGUUUGUCACUGCUUACCUGCCUCUGCCUUGUCCCUCUCACUACUGCCCGAGUGUCAUAAUUCAAAGUGAGUAUGCAACUUUGAUACAGGAGGACUUCAGUUAAUUAGUGGUCGACUUCUGUAGGAGGGGAAAAGAUUUAUAAUAUUUCCAGAUAUUAAAGAUAUUCAGAAAUCAUUCAAACAAGUAGUUUCUAAUCUGCUUGUAGUGUUCUAAAGUAAAGAUAGUAUCUUUUGGUGAUAGAGGGCUCUGAUUGAUUCAAGGAAUAUGACUACCAAGCUUAAUAGAUGAGGUCAGUGUAUUUAGGAACUUGGCAUUUUCUAGAAAUACUUGGAAAGGAAGACUGCAAAUGACACCAGCUCCUGAUCUAUUUCAGCAUCUUGAUAGUGCACAAUCGAGAAACUGAAUCAGGAGAACUCCUUGUAGGCUUUUGGUAUUUCCAAGUCUUAAUCAAUUGGCCUUUUGCAUAAAUUUUCUUAAAUAUGUUAAAAGAAUCCAGAAGGAAAAUAUUAAGUCUAUCUUCAGAUGGCGUGCUAGAAAUCUAAUGCUCUGAAGAAGAAUGCAUAAAGAACUUUAUCUGCAUGUUAUUCCACAGCUACUGCCCUUCAGUGGAGAGGAAGAAUGUGGGUCAGAAAGAUCUUUACUUUCUUGAAGGGGAGUAGGAGGGGGGAGGAUACAGUUGUUAUAAUAUAGUUUAGUGAACUAGGUUUCCAGCAAACUCCAUGUAUUAAUUUAUACUGUUUGGCUCACCAGUUCUGAACUGUCGCUUUGUUGCUGUAUUCUCUCCAGUGCAGUUAAAUAGUUAUUGUCUAUUGUCUUCUGAACAAAUGUUUGUGUAUAUUGCAUUGUUGCAUGGAUUCCACUCCCUUCCCACAGCAAUGAAUAAUUUGAAUUGCUUCAACUUCUUGCAUAUUUAAAAAAAUAAAAGCAACAACAACAACAAAAAAAUCAAAACAAAAAAACCAAGUCUGCUUGACUUACUGCUAUAGUCCUUGAAUUUCUGUUAGUAUCUAGCAAUAGCAUGUAAAUUAUUGAUAUAUUAAGAUAAAUAUGCCUAGUGUUGUUCUGGCUCGUUCUGUUGUGUGUGCGCACUCAGGAAGAUCUCAAGACUAUGUAUGAAAUGUCCAUAUUAGUUUUGUCCAAUAAUUGCAGGACAAACUUCUGUGCUCUUCUAAUGCCUUACACCUGCAAUCACUGGUGACUUUGUAGUGGGCAGCUAGAAGAAAUAGAAAUGGUCAUCUUCUUUUUUCUUUUUUUCUUCAAGCAGUUUUAAAAUUGGUGUUUCAGUACAUGACUGUGUAGCGGCUUCUCCCUUUCUAGGCCAUUUGGGUAUAAACCCCUUUAAAUAAUCCUAAAAUAAUACAUGAUGAAUCUAGAAAUGUCUAGUUUACAUAACUGAACUUUAGCUAGGAAAUAAUAUUACUGGAUUCUGGAAAAACUGCGUGUUGGUUGGGGUAAAUGUACUGCAGACCUCCAAAUCUCACUGUACACAGUAUGUGCUUCGAGGGGUAGUUGUUGGGAUAUAUGUGUCAAGGGAUUCAUUACUCUGAGAGAGAAAAAGGUCUGUCUCAAAGGUGCACAAUAAGACACGUAUAGAACUAGAUGGGUUACCUAGUAGACCGUAUGGUUUCUCUGGCUCAGAUCUCAGUGUAGUGUAUCUUCAAAAUGCUGUCCAAGUCACCGUCUUUUGAUGUUAAUGAUGUUUUCUUGGAUUAAGAGAUCUCACUGUGGCAAUGACAUUUUACAACAAUGCAAGCUGUAUGGGUAUACCUACCUGAGCAAAACUGUGGGAUCUAAUAAAGUUUCUCUGUGCUGUAGAGAUACUCGGUCAGCUUGAUCAGAUAAGAAUUCAUACAAGCACUAUGAAGCAAACUCUCAGUGAUUGUCAUUGCUUAGUAAUGCCUUCUUUCCAGAGCCGUUUUCUGUUAUUUUUGCUUUUUUGGAGCUUCUGGGUUUCUUUUCCCUGAUUUUACUGUGCUGUCAAAUUCUUCACUGGUUUUUAUCACUUCGGCAGUUUUUUUUUCAGCUGGCGUACAGCUUGUGCCUUUAGAAAGAGCAAAAAGCCAGCUGCAUCAUUGACUGUAAUAUUUAGAACUAUCAACUUCUUGAUAAAAGUAAGUUUUGUGUACUUACUGCUAAUCAGGGUAAGGGAAAUGAUCUGUUAUUGGCAACCACAGGAUGAACAUCAGGUGUAUAUUAGCUACUGCUGUUGUAAGGGAACAGCAUUGUACUUCCUUUCUCCCACUCUCAUUUUUGGUUGCAUUGCAUAUACACAGAGUUAUUAACUAUGUAAAAUAAUUUAACUUUUAGCCCCUUUUUGUGGGAAUUAUUGAGUCAUCACCUGAACCACUGAUGGAGCAGCUGGGGAAAAGACCAGGUCAGCCCUGGGACCACAGGUGGAGGCAAUUCAGCUGUGUGACCAGAGGGGGUGGAAUCUGGCUGUGCCUCUCUUAAACCCCAUUUAAGGGCUGACUGCCACUGGGGAAAGAUCUCUGGUUGGAGAUCCCUCCCUUGUGGAGUUUUUCCCCAUGAGCCUAGAUCUUUGGACAUAGGUGAGCAUUCUUUUCCUCUUUGUCCCUUUUGUCAUCUCACUCUUGUGCCACCUUCCCACUGUGCUGAUCUUUCUGACUGUAACACUAUGUCAGUCUUCUUUUCCCCCUAUGUUACAGUACCCGCAGCAUGUGAAAGACUUUCAAAAGGAUCUGUUCUAUAUCAUUAUUAUUUUGCUGGGGGAAGUGUGUAACUUACAGUGACUUAUGGGGGUUCGGAAUCGUUCUGCAGUUAGAAAACUUUGUUUUGGUAGUUCUUACUUAACUCUUAACAAAUACCUAACCACGUAACCUAUUUGUGCAUAGAGCAGAGUGAGAAGGUGUAUGAAGACAACACUGCGUUGUGGCUUCUGCUGUUUAAUUGGACACAUCUUUGGAUCAUUCUCUAUAUCCAGUAAUAUCAUGUUGCAAUGGUUUCUGUGACCCACCUGGACUAUUUUCUCUUUUAUUAGUGUGCUAGGAUUUGAAGCAAAGUAGAGACAGCUGUAAGAGUGCAUAUAACUGAGAGCCAAUUAGCGCAUCUAAAUCACUAUUAAAUGAUCUGCACUUAGUCACACUUCUUGCUAAUCUAGCUACAGGAUCAAAGCAAUCUUUGUGUUUUUAAUUUCCUUGAGUGUAAUAUUUGCAUGGGUUCUCUUCUCCAUGUUGUCUGCUGGAGAACGGCCUCACAACCAGUAGAGCUUAGCUAUGAUACAAGGCACUGUAGGUUCUGUAGCUGUUCACAGUGUGACGUUAAUGGCGUUAAAUUAGCAACAUCAGCGAUAUUAACUAAUUUCCUCAUUCAGGCUGUGACAUUUGUUUGGUAAAAGGAUCAUUAAACAUAUGCAAACAUCCUAUGUGCACUAAAAGGUCUUUGGGCCCUGACAAAUGAUAAAUGAGAAAAUUACUAGUUGUAGGAAAAUGUAAAUAUCAUUCUUUGGAAAUCUGUCCUCUGGCAAGAGAAUAAUGUUCCCCUCAAAGCAAUGAAGGAUUCAUUAUAUUCUUUUCACAUCUUUAAAGAAAGCUAAAGAAUAUUUUACAUACUUAAUGCACAUCUUGAUGUCUCUUCUUUUCUUUCAGCUACUGCUGUUGAAUUGGGAUUUGUCCUGGUUUUGUUAAGCAAGUAUUUCAGCAGUACAUUGCAGAAAGAAAUACUGUAGCCUCAAUUAAGUCCUCCUGUAAUCGUCCGAAUAACUUUGAGUCCAUCUUAUGUUUUUGUUAUUAGCAACUUUUUCUUUAAUCAGUUGUUAUGCAAGAGGUCUAACAGGGGCUCCCAUGCUGUUUGUCUUUCUGUCAGAUAACUAUGUUAUAACUAUAUAUGUAAUACAAACUGCCUAUUAACUGAUGGAUGCAUUUAUCAUGACUUCAGGGAAUGGCUUAGUCUACUUUCAGACAGUCUUGAACAACUUUUUACACCUAGUGUUUCCAGCUGUAUAGGAUUUGUAGUGUCGGGUUAGAAUGCAAACAUCACCAGAUAAAACAGAAAGGUUUCAAAAAUAUGAUGCAUUUUACAGUAACUUAUUACCUAGUGCAUUUGUGUCCUUAGUCAUCAUUGAGUACUGUAUUUCAGCUGCUGCUGUUUUUCUCCUUAAAGCUGUGACUCAAGUUGCUGUUCUGUCCAACACUAAAACUAAACUGAAUUCAUCCUGCUUUUAGUUUGCGAUAUUACUGCAGUUUAAAAAGUUAUUAUUUCAAAAUGACAGAAACAGUUUUGGGAGACCUCAGAAUUUUCUGCCAGUCUUUCCAAGAAUGGAGUUGUUACAUCCAUUGAAAUAACUGUUACAUUGAAUAUUAUGAAAUUCAAAAUGUCCGAUAAAACUAACCUUUGAUUAACUAACAACAAAAUUUUUCUUCCCUAUGCCUGGAAGGAAGAUCUGCCAAUAGCAACCUUAGAAAAUUGUUAUAGGCUUAUUAUCUCAAAUAAGAAGUAAUUUUAUUCAUAAUAAUUAGUGGCCUUAAGUUGCACUGGGGAGGUUCUGGUUGGAUAUUAGGAAAAUUUCUUCUCAGAAAGAAUGGUCAGGCAUUAGCACAGGCAAUGUAGCUGUGACACUGAGGGACAAGGUUUGAUGGCAAGGUGGUGACUGUUGAACUAGAUGAUCUCUGUGGUCUCAGUGAGUGUAUGAGUUUAAAAUAUGUAUUUCCCCCAAACUGGCCCAAUCAGUUCCAUUGCUUAGACUGUCUCAUACCCCUGUUUUUAAAUGUGGAGUCUUGCUAGGGUUUUGUUUGUUUUCUUUUUGUUCUUAGGAUAUUAUUCCCAGCUAGUGAGGUAUGUAACUUUUUUGUAUGCCAAGAUUAACUAAUAGCUGUACACGUUCAGUUGUAUUCAUGCCAUUUCAGAUGUCAGACAUACCAUUAUAUGCCAAACUCCAAGUCUGAUUCAGAAACAUGUUUUCAGCUCAGCAGAAUUUUCCAAAGAGUCAAUAUUUUGACUUUUAAAUAAACACUUGCAGAACUGUGGGAAGGAAGAUGAGGAAGUGGGAAUAGAGCCUGAAUUUGGCAAGUUCUGUGCAGAAUGGUGUCUUGUAUGCCCUAUGAUGUUCUAGUGACUGGAGAUGAACAGAGCACCUUAGGAAGAAUAAUGCUUAAAAGCUGAACCUAAAAUGAAAGCCUUUUCUCAUUCAAGUCUUUGGCUAUAUUUCUAGAGACCAAGGAUCUGAUUUUCAUCCCAUGUUAGAUGUCAGCGUUUUUACUUCUGGAACUGUCAUGACAAUUCAGUGCAGGAACUACUUAAAAGAAGUAAGAAUGAAAUGAAUAAAAGUACUUAUUAUCUAAAGUAUAUAUUAACCUAUUUAGGGAGGGCUGAAUUAGUUUACUAAAUUUAAUAUUCCCUAGAUGAUACAAGAUUCUGACACAAACAGGUCAGCCUUGUGUCUGCAGUGAUUAAGGCAAGAUAGAGCAAAACUGCAGCAGGUGAGAUUUUGGGUAGGCAUUACAUUUACGUUUAAAAAAAAAAAAGGGUAAACUCAGGUCUGAUUAUGAAGUUAUAAACUUGAGACUUUGUGAGAGGAACCUUGGGCAUUUGGCUGGAUGAGAAAAGUUAAAAGAAAACUUGAUUGCAAUUGGCAGACUUUUUUACAUGAACUUUCUAUGAUUUCAUGCCUUAGGGCUUUUACCAGUUGUUUGCUAGGACUGCUUGUUGUUAUUCCCUUUGAUGUGUAAUUGUGCUUCUGUUGGACUCUCCAUCAGCCUAUAAUAGAGGUGAAAUCUUGAGCCCUGGAAGACAGGCAGAGCAUUUGGGUAUGUGCUUAAAGGUAGAAAAACUCUCAUGCUUUUGCAUAAAUUGAGUGCCAGGUCUGAGACAGAGAAUACUAUUUCCAUGUCAGACUGGGGAUAAAAGGACACUAUUACAUGGAAAUAUCCAUGUAUGUAGAAUUGGAUGAUGACCCAAACAGAAUCCCUGAUUUCUUCAGAUGCUAAGACUUUAAGGAAGCCUGUGAUUGCUCUUUUGCCCUGUUACGAGAUAGUGUAUAGUGUGACUUGUUUUAGCGAUCUUGAGUAGGGACUCCUUAUAAUAAGCUUACGGUGUUUCGUAGCUUGUGGUAUGAACAUAGGCUGUGUGUUUGCCUUUUCUUUUAGGGUGAGCCUCAUUUCCUACCACACUGCUUUUCUAAGAACAGGAGUUGAAUACCCAGGAAGUUGUGAAACCUUACGAGAAGGUUUAACAGGUUAGACAGAACUUAGAGAAGGAGAGGAGCUCUACAUAUCUCCUAUCUCCUAUGGAGUAAAAGCAUAGGCUUGAUGAACUCCACUGAUCGCUUUCUUUUUAAUCCACUGUCUCUGAUCCAGUGGUACUUGAUUGGAUUGCUGAGAUCUAAAUAUAAUGCCUCCCACACUGUUAUUUAGAAAGUAUAGUUAUUUAGUAGUAUCACAUAUGUUGGAACUGCAUUAGAGUUAAGCAUAGUUGUAGCAAUGAGCGUUAAGCUGGGAAGAAAUUAUUUCUAUGCUUACUCAGUUUAUCAAAGUUAUCUUAAUGAAAUUUCUGUACAGAAUUCUCUGAUUAAGUGUCUUUGUGACUGUUUUGUUUAAGCAUUUCUGCUCUACAUACUAACAAAAUUCCUUCAGUUAUGGAAGACUUACAAUAGCUGUGUGUGGGUUUUUUUUUUGUUUGUUUUUUGUUUUUUACCAAAUUACUUAUUCCUGAUUUCUUAGUUUUGGAGUUUCAUUUUCAGGAUGAGAUUACUGUGGCUACUACUUGUCUGUAUGUCUUAUUGCGUUAUUCUGAUAUAAAAUGGAGAUAAGGCAACUAUGGUAGCAAAGAGACUGAUACAGCAAAAGCAUUUGAGGACAAGUUUUGCUUCUAAGUUUUAUAGCAGUUAGCUCAUUUUCAGGCUGCUAAUAAUACCAAAGGAAGCCAGUUGAAAACAAGCUGAGGCGAAAAUCAGAGCAGUGGCAGUGGUGGUAGUAAGAGCCUGACAACGAUAUUUCUGGGUAAUUUGGUGAGCAGAAGCAUUGUGGUGCCUUGUAUCUUAGUUGUAAAGAUGCAUUUAAAAAUGAGGCACUCAAAACAUUCAUAUUUCUCAACAUACAUAAAAACUUAUUUAUAUGCAGAAUUUUAGGUUUUGCAUCUGAAAUUUUCCUUGUAUGAUAUUAGGGGAAGAGAAAUUGUGUGUACAGAGGAAAUCCACUCAAACUGCAGAGUGAAUAAUUGAAAGAUAGAUUUGCUACCCUAGAUACAUUUCUUUUGCAGUUCAUACUCUGCUUCCGCUUGACAUUUUCUCCACAUAUAUGUAAAAAGAAAAAUGAACUGCUAAGGAAGAACAGUGGUUUGUUUUUGCAUGAAUUCUGAAGUGUUCUUCAAACACUUCUCAUAGAUGAAUUACUCAUUUUCAAGUCAUUCUUAAAUCUGUAAGUGGAAGACUUUCUGCUAUCAAUUGCACUAAAGGUAGAAAUAUAUUUUUAUUCUUGUCUUAUUUACCAAUAAAUCAGUCUGUGAGGAAGUAAAGUUUUCAUGCUUGGUAACUUUUUUCUUCAUGGCAGAGUUGCUUAAUUCAUCAUCUGUGUGCUGAAUUUUGCUGUUCUCCUUGCUCUCUGGGCAAAGGCCUAUGUACCAACAUUACCUCAUUAGUAUCUUUACUUUCAUUAACCUUCCACAUGUGCACCCAUAUCAUCUCCAAUGGCAUAUCUACUGAAUAAUAAUGGGGUGCUAGAAUAGGGGGUUGGUUUCACUAAGAGCCAUGAUAAUCAAAAUGUAAAACCCCCUAUCUGCUGCAUUUCUGUCACUCAAGUUUAACAUCUCCUGUAUGAGGGGUCAUCUUUAAUUAUUUUGAAGAGAAAAUAUCUGAUGCUCUUUCAGUCAUUGGAUAAUUACAAUUAGAUGUUAAAGGAAGUACUGUGAUUACAUAUAUCUGAUAUUCUACUGCUGAAAACUUUUUGGCUCAUGGUUUACCUGUAGGAAGACUUUCUGGUUCUUCUAAGGCUAUUAGAUUUAUGAAUAUUAACCAUAUCAGAAAUGCAUUUUCUCUUGUUUUUCUAGUGUAUGAUUUUAAAAAGGUUUCUAUGUAAUAAAACGCUUUUUCAUCGCUUCUUAUCUUCAUACAUUGUGAUUGAGAUUAUGUAUACUGAAAUGUAGUAUUCAUGGGCUGAAGCUAGUAUAGUCCAAUGUGCAGAUCACUGGUAAGAUGUUUGAGUUUGGGGGUCUGACUUUAUCUCCUCUGUGAUGGCUAUAAUUUCUCUAUUUGUGAAAUGCGGUUUUUGUGCUGUCGUUCAGGUUAUGCUUGCUGAAUAUCAAGCUUUUGUGAGACACCUGUGUGCCUUCUGCAAGUACUUGGACCUGUUUAUUGAAAUAGUUAUAUCUUUACACUUAAACUAGUUCAAUAAAUUAUUUUGUAGGCACAUUUGCUCUUUAAUUAGCUUCAUUAAUGACACUAGAAAGAAUUCCAAAUGUGUAUUGUAGAGGCUUGAUUUAUGUUAGGACUUCAUCUGAGCUUUCUGUUUAAAUUUUUUGCCCUUUAGUCAAAAGUAACCAUUAUUGCAUUUUAAAACAUUGAAGGGUUAUUAGACACUGCAGCCUAUAGAUAUUACUCUGUAGUUUAUCUUCCAAGCCUUUUUUAAGAGAUGGUAAAGAUUAUAAUACCUGCUGUUCUAAGCUCUAUUGAGCAGUCACUGCUGCUGGAGAGGCUUGCAUUCAUCCUGUCUUAUGGUACCAAUUGAGAAAGCCCUCUACAGAUUUCUCUAAUUACUGAGUGAAAAGUCUGGGUUGAUUCCUGUUGUGUUGUAAUUCUGAGGGGGGAUGGUGGGAUGGGGAUGGAUUGUGUGCCUGAGUCUAAUGUCAGUCAGAGCAGUAUCUAACUCUGUACUAACAGUUCCCAACAAUGAUGGUCUCAAGUUGUCGUCGAGGUCAUGCCAGAAUGUUUCUGCAAGAGCAGAAACAAGGGAACAGAUGGGACUGAAUUUCAGUAACUUCUGAAAUUCCCGUACUCUCAGCAUUGAUUUAAAAAAUAUGUGCAUUGUUAAUGAGAAUGUGUACAUCAUACAUCCCAGGAAAUGUGCAGCUGUGGAGACUGCCAUGAGAUUAGUUAUCUUUAAUCUUUGGCUUAGUCCUUUUGGGACUGAAGUAUCAGGUUUGUAAUGCAGAGAAAAUAAAUGCUUCAAUACAGAAAAUCCUAAAAACCUGUACUUAAUAGGAAAACUUAAUAUGUGCUUAAAGGCUCUGGUGAGUUUGUUCUUUGCUUUUAUGAAUGCAGAAUAGUUGCCAGAAAGAUUCCAGCUGGGCCAGGUACAAAUCUUACAGUAGAGAAGACUGCUCUAAUGUACAUGCAAUGAAAAGCAGUUUAAAUAAUAAGCACCUGAAGGACAAGCAUGAGUACCCUCUUUGCAUGGAGCUCUGUAAUUCUUACAGUCAAGUAUCAGGUGGCUUUAGUAUUGUUCAUUUUCAAACUCCUCCUUGUUCUAGUGGAAAUCAAUACUACCAAAAGCAAAGAAGUACCUCUAGAUAAUGUUUGAAGUUUAUUCCUUUGCAAGAAUCCAGCACGCUGCCAGUUUUCUGAGUUUCACCCACGAGCUGUGGUGGUAAUAUCUACACCUGGACAGCCAGCUCUCUGAUUUGCUGACAAGAUGACUUCUGCCCAUCAAAUAUCAAUAUGAAUUCAGUUAUGAAUUAGGACAUCAAACUUGUGGAGUUCUAGAAUAGGCCCUUCUAGAUUUUUUCCAAAAAUCUUCAUUUAUACUGUCCUGUAAGGCACAUCAAUUCUGAGCACUGAGUGUCUUAAGCCUCAAGCUGAGCAGUGGGGCUUUUUAUUCCUCUUUCUAUCACUGAAACUUUUAUUUGGAGUUGUUAGAGUUGGUUCAGAGCCAGCAGCAGAACUUGACUGAAUUAAGAAUGACAGCUGUCUGAUUCUUAGAUUUUUCUGUUAUUCGAAUGCUUCUAAAAUAAUUACCCCUAGGCCAAAUACUCAGCUAUUUCUAGUCCCCUGCCGUUCCUAUUUUGCUCUCAGGCUAGAAACUAGGCAUUCUCUUUCAUAGAAAAAUCUUAAGCAUAUAUCCAAUUCAAAGGCUUGCAACGUUUUCAGUGACUGUUAUGGUAGGUAAGUUAGGUUACUUGCUUGCUUUAAUUACAUAUAUGAAGAAAUUAAAUGAGACCAUGCCUAAGGUCUCCAUGCAAGAGAGCUCUGAAUCUAAUUAUUAACACUAAUUCUGAGCUCUUUAUAUACAUAUCAGCAUAUGCUAAGUUUCUUUAUCCUUCAUCAGUUUGCAUGUGGUUAGAGGCUAAUAGAUCAGUGUAAGCAGCCCUGUGAGUGUGAAGCACCUGCCACCUGUGUUAUGUGUUUGUCUUCAGUUGAGUUGGAAUUAACAUUUGAAGAAGGCUUUAAAUGAGACCAUAAGCUACCUCUUCCAGUUUAUAUCCACCAAAAAAGUAUUCUGUGCUUUGAGAUUCAUCUACAGGAUGAGCCACAAGUCAGGAAACCUGCAGUUGAGAUGUUUAUUUUGCAUGGCAUGUAUUUAACUGAGUUAUUUAAAACUUUCUACUGAACUAAGUAACUUUAUUCAAGUACGUUAUUUUUAAAGUGAAAGCAUUUCCAAUUAGGAUUUAUUUCCUAAAGGAGCAGUGAAAUCCAACCAGAAAUACUGACUACUAGAAGAAUGUGACUUCUAAAUGAGUGCAGUCUAGAAAUGAUGCCAUCAGUGAUGUGAGAAAAACAAUUUCAGAAAUCUGUAUUGAAAUUAGUUAUGCUGCCAAUAUGAAGAUCACCUGUUUUCAUUUCUUUAGUGGCUUUGAGAUGACAAUAGCUACUUAAGUGAGUAGAAGGGAUAGCAAAAUAACUUUCUGAUUCUGGUCACGAGGGGCCCUUUCUGCAUUCGUGCUGAUGUGGCUUAAGUAGCAAAAAGGCUCAAAUGCUUUGGGAAAUGUGAACCAUGAGGAAAGACUAAAAUCUGUGUUUUAAUCUAGCAAAGUCAAGGCUAAGAGUAGACAUGAGUUUUCAAAUACAUCAAAUCUUAAUGUAAAGACAAAGAAUAAUUUGUUUUCCUCACCCAUUGGAAACAGGACAAUAAAGGCUUUAAAUUUCAAUAGAGAUUAAGUUGAUUAAAAACCGGUUGUAAUAUGGAGUCUGGACUUUGCUUAAUGACUCUCAUUUCAUUUGCUUCUCGAUCAUUUUGCUGAUGACAGUCUCAGUUAGAAUUAGCUAAACCAGUUUGCAAAUCAGAAUUUUAAAAUACUUAAUGAACCACAAUUUGCCACUUUCUAUGUUUUUCUCUUCCCCAUCUCUUCCUUAGGAUAGAACUGUCUUGCUAGUUUUGAUUUACUUUUCACAACACAAGCUAAGCUUGUUAAGUCUUAGGCAAUUACAAUGAAAUGUUUGAGCAUAUGUCAACCUCCCAGAAAAUUGUAUUGUGUAAUCCAGCACUUUGCUAGUCUGACAAGCUGAAGAAAUGUUUCCAGUAGAGGAAUCAAUCAGAGGAAACAAAUCCUCAUCUAUGUGGAGAGGAAGUGGGGGGAGGGGGGAAGUGCUAAAAUAUUGUCCUCUAUGAGUUAGACUUAAUUCUAUUUACUAUAGAGUGAACUUUUGGCUGCCUCUGGGAAGCUGUAACCUAGAAUAGCCUCUGACCUUGCAAAACAGUGUUCCAGGUUGUUUCUUGUGGCCUCCUUCUGUUUUGGCUGACGCAGGGAAAGAUCAGCUGAGGAAGUGACUUCCUUUGAACCUUUGAUACCAGAUUCUGUUGCUACUGCUGAAUCUUGGCAGGGGUUCAUGUUCUCUUGCAGUAGCCUUAGAAAAACCAACUGUCAGACUUCCCUUUUUGCAAAGGAAAUAGUUUAAGUUGACUCAUUCCAACAAAUUAUCUCUUGUUCAAGGAAAAGGUAGGAUGUUAUCCUCUUCUCUUUAUACGUGUUUGUUUGGAUUAUGACUUUUUCACAGUGAUUCCUGAAGUUUUCUGCUGAGUAAUAGUUCCUACUCCUGAGCCCUUCUCUGAGUAUGUAUGAGUAAAUGUGGAAUGAAGGGAGCUAUGUUAAAGACAGUAGGGUAACAAUGGUUAGAUUAAGAUUUUUUUAUUUUUUUUAUUUGAAGACAACAUCAACAACAGGUCCUGAGCAGAAGAAGAGAUUGUUAGCCAUCAGUGACAAAGUUUUGGGUUUUUAGUUUGAUAUUUUUAAUUUAAAACUAUAUUCUGAAUCCUCUGUAAACUUUGUAUUUCAGAAGAAUCAGCCAUUAAAAUUGCUCAUCUUACUAACGGUCUGCAAAUGUGUUUGGUACAUUGCAAAUAAGAUCUUGUUCAAGUUGGUACAUGGAAAGGAUUCUUUCACUCUUAGUAGGCAGAGCUGUUCUUUCUCUCUUAGCAAAUGGCAUUUUGGUGGGGUUUUUUUUGCCUUCCAGUAUGUGCAUCUUAGUAUUAUAUUCAUGGCCAUACAAGACUUGAAAUAGAACCUGCCAUUUGUGUGUCUCAUGAAUCAUGCAUUCAUCAGCAUGUGUGAUACAUUAUUAAUGUUUAAUCUGAGGAUUUAAGUGUUGUUGCUGAAAACCGUUCUUCUGAGCCUAUUUUAAUAUUACUGUGUCAGGAAAAAAUAAGAAAAUCAUUAAUUAUGCUUGUGUUUCUUAUGCACGAUUUAGAUGAAAAAACAUUGUUUAUGCAUAUGACAGCAUAAAUACUAGGGUGCAGAUGGACAAAUAAAAUUUACAGAGGACAAUGAGUUGUACAAUAGGUUCACUUUAGCUUUAUUCCACUCCAGUAGGAGCCACUUCGCUUUGAUUAAAUCUCAUGCACUCAGACCACGCAGUACACUUAUUUUCUAAGCUUAUCGUAAGUAAUGCCAACCUUAGAAGGAGAAAAGGUAGCUCAGAUUUUAGGAAGCUUCAAUAGAGAAUAUAUUGUUAUAGUGUACUGACCUGUAGUAGUGUCCACUGAAUUUAGCAAGAUGUUUGUUAAGAGCAAAGAUAUAGGAAAAGAAAUGCUAUAAUCUAUAGAAUGCCUACAGGCUUCCUAAAGGAUGUUAUGUAACUCUUAAGGUCUGAUAAUGAGUCUAAAACAAAUAGGAACUAUUUUGUCUCACUAAGUUAUGCAUGGGCAAUUAUAGUUAACUUUGUAAGCUGUUUCUAGGUUCACUUAGAUGCUCAUUCAGCAUAGCUUUGUUUCAAUUUCUGCCUUUGUCUCAGUGAUGAUAAGAUUUAAAGAAAAAGGAAUGCUGUUGGGAUCUAAAAAGCUUUUAUUGUACGUGAUUGGGAAUAUGAAAAUGUGUCCAAAUGGAAAUCAGUAAUAUGGUCAAAUUUGGUAUGAUGCUAAACUGCUUCUGUAAUCGAUUGCAAAUAAUUGUAGUAAGAAUUUGUUGAGAUACUUUGUUAAAUCUUCAGGCAGAGGUUUGCGUUUUGUGAACUGAUAAAGCAAGGAAGUCUACUGUACAAUACAAUCAAGUUGAGACUUGAUCUCUGCCUAAUAACGUAACAGUGGUGGGACGGUGGUGUAGGGAAGAUAUCAUAGACCCCAGUGGUGUAGUUCACUAUCAUCAGACUAUUGGAGCCACAGAUGUGAAACAAUUACUCUGGGGGGUAAAACUAGAAAGUUUUGUUUUUGUUUUUUGAAAUCUUUGUGAGAUGUUGAAGGGGCUGAGCUCUUUUGAACAAAAAUGAAGUUUGAAGCUUCUGGUCUUUGCUGCUGCCUGUGCUGUUCUCAGUGCACCCCAGUCCUGUCUGCUUAUCUCAUUCCUGAUUCUGACUAGCAGCACUUGACUUCAAGGAUUUCUAACGCAUCAAUAUAUUUGAAUAAAUGUUUGAUGUGUCUGCAUGUGUUGGACUCUUAUAUGGGGGAACCAGUGGUGAAUUUCUAGGGGGAAAAGAAAUUCUAGUUGGUGUAGAGAAGAUGCUACCUGGGUUAUUCAGCUGAAGAGGUGCUGGCAGACUGUUUCCAGCUAGAUCAGCACAACAGAGGUGCUCUUCCCACCUCCGUUUAAAUGUUUUCACUCUACAACUGCUUCCUGAGCAAGAGAACAUCCUAUGUUUAUGUACAGAAAUACCCUCUUUGAACAAAUGGAACCGUUGCUUUCUCAUACUGUAAUUCAAAUCUUGAUUAAUCAUAUGCAGAAAUAAAAAUUCAAUUUAGAUGAAGCUACUGUAUUUAAGCAGGGUUGUUUAAUUCUCAAAUUCAUCCAUGAGAAAGAAAUGCUUGCCUUGUGUUUUCUGAUACACUUUCAAUUAUUUGUUGGAUGCUGUAGUUGCUGACCUGCAUCAAAAUACUAUCAAGUCUAGCACUUACUCCCCUUACUUAUUAUUCACACUAACUGUGGAUUUUAGGCUGAGUAGGAGUUGAAUCUUUGUACCUGCUUGUUAUUUUUGUUAAAAGGUUGAAUUUCAGAUUAGAAUGGUCUUUCUGACUUUCUGAAGUGCUGUAAUGAUUUCAUCUGUACCUCAAAGUUUGCUAGUGCUACAUACUAGCCUUAAAAUUUUGAUCCAUGCAUCCCAUCAUUCAGCUAGUUUUGUUUGCUUUGUGUGUAUUUAAUAGCAUGUCUUGUUUGCAGCUACUUCUGUUGUGCUCUUGUUUUUCUUAUAUAGCAACAAAGGAAGAACAAGCAUUAUUAGCAGCAGGAGACUAGCUGCAAACGUGACAGUGGUCAUGGAAAUUAAGUCAGUUCUAGUGCUUGUAGCAGAUGAAGUUGGUAAUCUCUUAAUUAAAUCUGAUGCAGCUCCAGCUUUCUUGAAAAUUCGAGCUUUCUGAACCCUCUGAUUAAGUGCAGGCUUUUCUGAAACGACGCAAACCCAAUCUAAUGGAUAGAAAGCAGUUGUAAAUGUUUAAGCUACUCAAUAUUGUCAAUUCCUGUAAAGCUGGGCUUGCUUAUCUAUUGGUUUCUCUGUUACAGCUAUUAAGAUGCUAGUGAGACAAACUUCUUUGAUAAGUGUUAUUUAGGUACCGAUCAAACUCUCUUUAAAACAUGAUAUUUUGUUCUUUGGGUUGUUUUCUUUUUUCUUUCUUAACCCAGUGUAAGUUUUUCUUUGGUUACAGAUUUGUAUUAGUUUUUUCCUUGGCAGCCCUCUUUUGGGAGGGAAAGUUUGCUUAAGUAUAUGAUAGUGUAAAAAACACAAAAGCGGACUGUAUACAAUGUUAAGUAUUUUGUAUUUGUGUGUGUGUUUCAUACUUGUCUUCAGAGCCAUUUAAACUGUGUCUACGCUGUACUUUAUUUCAUCAAAAUAAUGUGAAGUUAGUUAAAAAUGGUAUGAACCAUAACGACAGACUUAGUGACUUGGUAUCCAAGAUACGUCAGCGUGCUGAUAAGUUACUUGUUUUCCUGCUGUGAGAACUGGUUGCUGUAUUUGAUUCUUUAGCUGAAUACAAACUAAAUUAAAUCUGCAGUGACCUAUAUUGUACUCUAGCUAAUGACCCAGUUAACCUCUGGUUAAUUUUUUGUCUCUUGGUGUCCUGGGAACAGGGACAUGUUUACUUCAGUUGCCACAAACCUUUAGAAAUGUGCCACUGGCAUUUAUUAUUCUAGUGCUGUGUGUUUUAAUAGAAAUUAGCUAAUGGGCCAUGGGGGUAUGAAGAAGUUGUAGAAUGCCAAUGAGGAGUCUCCUUUCGUUUUUCCUCCUCCCUGAUUUACAUGACUAAGCUUUUAGCUUUUCUUGGUUUUGUUUUUGUUUCAUGAGUAUUGAUCUGUCUCCUGUGAAGGAAACAAACUGCCUAAUGUGCAGGAUGUCAUUGUGGUUGGCAGCUUCCCAGACACUGCCCUCUUUUGCUUGCUUAAAAUUGAACUAGAACCAGUACAGAUAUUGACAGGAAAUUUUGUAACUAAGGACACUUCUAAUUGCGUAGCAACAUAAUGCAAAUGAAUAUGAAUAUAGGCAUAAAAUAGUAAGAUAAUGUUUAAGAGUGAAUCUGAAUAACUCUUGUGGUAGUGCAAUUCUUCUACAAUUGGAUGUAGUACUCUUCUAUGAAAUACACCUUUUUCAGUAAACUAAAUUGUAUGGGUAGAAAAUCUGUCAGGGUAAGGCAGAAUGACUGUCUGCACCCAUUCACAGUAACAGUCAUUAUGGGCACCUUUGGAGCAUUUGUCAUAACACCUGAUUUUAAGCAUAGUGGGAUUCUUAGAGUGACAUUCUUGUUGUCCCUGCCUUCUCCAAGGGAAGAUAGCUAUGUUGAUUUAGAAGACCUACAAUGAGAGUGAAACAGGCCGGAAUGCAAACUGUGAAAUCUGAAGCCAGUUAUUUAGUGAAGGAAUUGUCUUUAGGAGCUGUAAGCAGCCCAGAGUAGGUGGAGAGCCAAGUGGGCAGUUAUGUCUGCUGCUUCACAGCAGUGUGACCCUUCUCUGAUACAGAAGUGAUCAUGUGAGAUUCAUUUUAGCGUAGUAAAAUGACUUAGUUUUGUACCAUGGUUGGGGGGGAGGGGGACCUCACGUGUGGUGACAGCCUCAUCAGGUUGGUUUUACUUGAGAGUGUGAUACCACUGCUGUACCAUUGCUGUGUAUUUACAAUACAGAUUAUUGAGGGACAUGGUUUAGCGGGAACCAUUGGUGAAGGGCGAAUGGUUGGACUGGAUGAUCCUGUGGGUCUUUUCCAACCUUAGCGAUUCUAUGAUUCUAUGAAGAGGGUAUUUAUCCCAAGUUUUUUCCCAAGACCAGUUCAUCUGCUCCUGUUGAGAAUUCUUGACUUUUCCUGAGCAAAUUCCUACUGUUACGCUUUUCCCUGUUUGCUGGCCAUUUUUCCACUGUAACCUGGGCACCAUAGGUUUGCAUUUCUGGGUGGUCCUUGGAGAACUAGUUAGUUGCAGUGGUGCUUGGUCUCUUAAUCUCUGGAGUGCAUUCAGAAUUACUUAAAUAUGCAAUGACUGUUUCACUGCCAUGUGAACAGUUGAAAUUUCUGUAGGGAUGCUACACAGUGGUAAAUAAAGUUGGAAAAGUGUUUGUUUCACUGAUACCUCUUGACCAGCUAAUGACUGUUCAGCCUGACUAUAGUCAUUUUUCUCCAGAUGUGAAAAUUUCUUGCUCUUAAAAUCAGUUUCUAGCAACUGGGUGGGUUCAAACAUUGUUAGCAGAACAAUGAUCUGUACCUAAGUACAAGAAGACUUGAAAGUUUGAAUGUUUGCUUGCUGGUGGCUUUGUUGGCUUUGUUCUUUUUUGAUAGCAAACCUGAUAUUAAUUUAGCCCCGUUCUGAACUGACUUGUGAAGCACCAGGGAACAUGGAGAUUGUAAGUAAAUUUUCAGUGCAUCAUUGUUUUAAUAGUUCUAACUGGAAGAUUAUUUUUUUUCCAGUACUUUGAACUUUUUCAGUCAGAAAUUAGGGAUGUUCUCAAACAGCAAUCAGUUUAUGCAUGUUUAGUUACAAUUUCUCAGCUGUCGCUUGAACAUAUUAGUAUAGUGCUCUUUAGGAAGCAAAAGUACAAGUAAGUUCAGAUCAUUUUGUGGACAGAAAGGCAGUUGGUAAUUGUGAUUUCCUUUUGGAAUAGAUUCCUUCUUUAUGCUGGUUUUGCCUAUGAUGGCAACAAGAACAGGUAGAAACAGCUUGCUGAGUGCUCAGCCUUAUGUUGUAGAAUAGCUGCUUUGUAGAGAACAGAUGGGUUCUACAGCAAUCCAGAGUCCUCUGUCAGCCUCAUAAACAGAUGGGUUUGGUAGGGGAUGGAAGCUUAGGCUGUUUUGCUUAGAUAUAGACACUUUUUCAGAGACUUGCUGGUUUUCUUUUGGGACUUUUUAUGUCCUAAGAAUUACUGCUUGAUGCUUGUAUGUUAAAAAUACACAGUGCUGAGAGGGGGGAAAAGUUUUUUCCACAAACAGAUUCUUGGGAACUUGCUCUGUUCACCCAUGUGGUUUAGAACACCACGCAAAAUAAACUGUCUGUGUUGUAUACGUACUUGGGGUAUGUUCUGCAAUCUUGUAGACAAGCUGCCUCCACCAGCUCGGCAAAACGGGCUUUCAUUCUUAACUGCCCUCAUUUCCUUGUUACCUGUUUGGUUUAUUUUAUGUUUUGUUUUUAGAAGCGGUUAAAAGGCAUUCCUGAGACAGGACUGUGUAAGCUUUUUCACUUGCUCUGAAACCACUGAAUCCAAACAGGACUUCACUUCUGUUCUACCUGUGGUUAAACCACUUUCUUCCUCUCUUCUGAGAGCCCGAAGAAAAUGCCCUUUGUUUUCUCAUGGGUUUCUGUGUGUGGCAGAAGAAAAAGCAAAAACUCAGCCUGUCUUGCUUUGCAUUUCUUGAAAAUUCUUCAUAAACAAAACAAAUUUUAAGUUAUGAGGUGUUAAAUCCCUCUGCUUUACCAGUUGAAGCAUCAUGAAAAUGAAUCCUUUUUCUGUCAGUAACUGGAAAGUGCAGGGCAUUCUGUGCGCGAAGGGAGCUACAGUACUCCACAGCUUAGUCCCUAGUCUUUUCUGUUUAUGAGCUUAUUCUGUCAGGGUCUGUUAGUUUUGGUAUUGUUAGAGUUUUAACAGGAUUUCAGACUUGUUGGUGGUCUCCAUGGGUCCUUUCCCUAUUUCACCUCUGAGUAUUCCUACUGCUAGAGGAAAAAAGCAACUGUGACUGAGAAGAUUGGAAUUACACACAGUGUAAUUCCCUUAUUCAUAAAUAUAUAAGGGAAUUGCUUCUCCUGGUUAAUGGUUGAGGAGCCAAAUCGCAAGCUUUUGUUAAUACAGGGAAUAUACUCCUCAGAUAUUCUAAAAUCCUUAGCUCAGUGAUACUUGUGUUUUUUUUUUUAAUGUUUAAAAAAGAAAUCAACAAGAGAAGAAGUCCUUAUGUAGAUGUAUGAUAUGUUUCAAUUAAUUUAUCUAAGUCUGCAGUUGGUGCUAUUUAUCCAGUAUAAGGAGGAGAAUUUAUUCAGGUUAAAGGUCUAGCCUGUGUUCCUUCCAAAGCAAGUAAGAAAAUAGAGUAUGUUGUAUUGUGCUCUAGACAGUGCUGUCAUGUGGUUUGUGCCCAGAUGUAGUUCUGGGAUAAAACGUUAUUUUGCCCUCUUGUUGGAGGGGAAACCUAACAUGAUGUAUUCGUCUAUCACAAGUAGUUUCUGAAUGCCUUAUAAUGCGAUGCAACAUAGCGCCAUCAGCCUUCUAAGCAGAAAAAAUAUGGGAAAAAUAAGGAAGGUGAAGGGGAAAGGCUUUCAGAAGUGCAGUUCACUGAAUAUGACUAUCUUUUAUUGCACACUAUUUGCAAAAGGGGACAAGAUUUAAUAAAAAAAUCCAAAUGAUCACAACAUAUUUCAUGCAGUAAUGAUUAUUGUAAUAAUUUCUUUGAAGUGCUCGGCUCUGUAGAAAAGAAGUUAUCUUCCAUAUAGUUCCUUAUUUCAGGAGUUUUUAGAGCUUAUUCUUUUGUGUCGGAUUACCUUUGACACCAACAAUAAAUUUAAUUGAGACCAUCUACAGUAUGGCCACUUAUCAAGAAUUUAGAUAAUACCUCAGAGGUAUCACAAAAGAACUUUGCAUAAGUGUUCUGUAGUGUAAGUGUGAUAUGAGGAAGCUUAUCUUGAAUAUUGUGCCUGGAAAAUCUUUCUUUUGAAGUGUAAAUACUGUAGUAGAAAAAAGGGGGGAAAAAAGAACGUUACGUUACUUUGGGGCUAAACAUUUAUUUGGAGACAAAUGAGUAAAAACAGAAUCGAGUUUUGAUCUUGAGUGUGACAGGAGAUGAUCUGUUGAGGGCACUCAUGAAUUUGCUUGUUUAGCCCAAUGGGUAUAAUUUCAAAAACAUAUUCCCAAAAGUUAAAAUGUAAAUUUGCUAUGUAGCUCUAGGAGAAAGGAAUUGCAGAUUGAGACUGUUAGUUGUUUAUGGACAUUUAGUCCUUUACUGUCCACAAGACUUAAAUACAUACUUUGGGUAUUGGAAUCUAUCCAAUUACACUUUGCUGUUCUUUAACAACAUAUCUAAGAACUCUGAAAUGAAAUACUGGAGCUUUUAACCUUUAUGUACUUUUCUGUUGUCUCUUGGUGCUCUGUCAGUAUUAUGAGCCAAACAACAGCCGAUUUGCCAAGUAGCUCUCAACACAAGAGUGUAGGAUGCAAGCCAUUUCCACAAAGCCAGGCUUCUUCCAGGCAGAGUGUAACAACACAUUGUGCCCUCUCCAGGCAGAACCGGUGCCCGAGAAAACUUACCUCAAACUACAGUGUGUGUUUUUGGUUUUUAUUCACAGUAGUGCAAAAGCAUAUCUUACUCAGAACGUUUAUAGAAGGAGCAAAGCAUGACUGUAUCAAAUUUUCUUGAAUUGUUUUUUUGUCAUUUCAGCCCUUAGUUGUGAAUAGAAUAAUUUUUCUUUUUCCCCAUCCACGUAAUUCAUAGCCUGCAAGUGUCACUUUUCUGUAACACCCAACUGUCAGAAUAAAGCUCAGCAAAUGUAGAUGAUGAUAUGAGAACACAUUCUUGGUGUGAAAGGUGUGGGGGAGAGGUAACUCUUAAGUUCGUGAAUUCAUUUCCAAAUUUAAUUUUUUUAUGCCAUAUUCUAUUCUUGCCUCUGUAUUAAGUUGGUUAUAGUUGACUUAAAAAUACAGUUUCACUGGUAUCCCUUAAUAGGAAGAGAAAAUGCACAUACUUUUACCUCUUUGGACCACUUCUCUUCAAAGACUUCUUUACCAAUCAGAAAAAUGUUUACAUUUAGGCAGUUAUACUCUCUAUUGUUUUUUUGUUGAUGCUCAUACCACAAGCUGUGUGUGUGUGUGUGUGUGUGUUUGAGGUGGAUUCUUUUGAAGUUUUCUUUUUUUGUCCAUUUCAUCUUUAUGAAAACUCAAAAUAUUGUAAUGAGAACAAAAAGUGAUUCCUUUUUCAUCGUAUCUGAGUACUGAAAUGUGGUGAGGGUGACUGUGCCCUACGGCAUAUCCAUAGAGAGCUGCAGUGGCAGCCCCCUUAAGGGCCACAUCCAGAUGCCCUGCUCCCUAUCUGCUGUACGGUGCUGUGGCUUACCUUGUUCUUGGCUGCUGUGCAAAUGCAUCCAAUUAACUCUCUGAACACUCUGCUUUUAGUUCCGUAGCCACUAGAUCACGGUGCUUGACAGCUGCAAGAGAAUGUGUGCAUGUAUUCCUCACAUUUUACAGAGGCAUGCUCAGCAGUGGAAACAGACUUGUCAGUCAUCCGGUGUUGUUGUACCUGUGGUCAGUUGUCCAAAAGCUCCUUAAGUUUCAAUGUGAUGACGUAAGUGUUACAGAAACUUGGGAUCUGUAUUUUGUACUCAUUGUGAACUUUUAUUAAAUGAAUGUACAAAUUCUCUAAAACUUUACAAAGCAUAUGCUGGUCAUUCAUUUUGCUCAUUUUUAAACUCAAGUUUUAAUGCUACCUUUUUCAUUCUGAAAUUUUUCUCAUGUUGACUGUAAAACAGAGGUUAAAGAGAAUUCUGAAAUAUUAUUAAACUGUGAAAUCCAAAAACAUUGUUAGACCUGUGGCAGUAGGAACCUUUCUUCAGGUAUGACCCGGCCAUUCCUAAGGUAUUAGAUACACACCAACAGAGAGAGAAAAGAUCUCCUUGUUCAAUAUAAAUGUAAAAAUGCUUUAUACGCUGCUGAUUAUCUGUCUUUGCUUGAGUAACUGCAGCAGCUUGCAAAUACCAAGGAUUUGGCAGAGACCAAAACUGCAAAUCCUUUGCAACAGCACUGCACUCAGAUUAAGAUCCUGUGAAAUCUUUCCUCAGCCACUAAUUUCACACUCCAGAGCUGGAACUGUGAACAGUUUAUAGCAGAUAAAUCUUGUUUUAAUAACAGCUUUCUUGGACUUUUGUAUAUUUUGAGAGGAAUUGUUUUUGUGUGUGUGUGUGUGUGAGAGAGAAAACAGUAUAUAUUUGUAGUAAAUAUUGUAACUUGUUAAAUAUUUCAUUUUAUAAUUGUAGCAUCUGUGACACUUUAGAGAAUGUUGGGAGAGUAAGUCCCAGUACAUAGUGCCAUUGCAAACUCUUUUUACUCUGGCUGUUAUGAGCAGGAAUAACAAAGUAGCUUAUUAACAUUUGCUUUAUAUUUAUUUGAAAAAUAAGUGUUGUUUUUUUGCAAUGGCAUUUUAUAUUCAUCAGGAAAAGAAUUAAAAAUGAGUCAAACGUUUUGUGAAAACUUAAAGGUAAAAAUGUUGCAUAUGAAAAAUUGGUGUUCAUCAUGCAAGUCAUUUUUAUUGUUUUGUUUGCAAGGGGGGCUCUCAGCAGUAAUAAAUCCCAGAAAACAGAUAAGCACUAUUCUAGUCAACCUACAGUCAUAAUGGGGAAGGGAGGGGGUAGAAGCAGGCUGUUUAAUUCUGCAAGAGAGUGGUAGAACUGAGACUUGAAACUUUCUUCCCCAGCGAUGUUGUACGGUUUGAUGGGAUAGGAAAAAAAUCUUCCUGGGACAUCGAGGGGGGGAAAAAAUAGUUUGAGAAACCCAAUGAGCUCCAUUUGGGUUACUGUGUAAAGAACAUCAUCUAACACAUCUUCACAGUUUUGCUUGGAAGUGCUCCAGUAUCUAUCAGUUGCAGAUAAGAUCCAAGUUGUUGCACAGUCUGUGUUUUCAUAAGUUUAAAUCUUUAAGGCUGUGGGCAGUGAAUCACAGUACUGUUGGUUUUUUUUAAUGCAUAUACUUAUUUUAUAAAUCUACAAAUAUACGUUCUUGGGAAAACUGAAAGAAGUGCUCAUGGGGAAACUAGAUUUGUGUUUGUAUGUAGUAAACAAAGCUAAGAUAUUUCAUGCUUCCAUCUGAAAAACAUAGCAGCCCAUUUAUUGUAAUGUCAGUAGAAUGUUCUUACUGUCAGAUGUCCAGUGUUGACCUUGACAUCAAUGGAAAAUCCUUCUGUAAAAACAGGAUCUCUUCCUGCACUUGUAAUAAAGCAAGCAAAUCUCAGUAUGAAGAAAUGAGCAUUUGUGUUGUGUGCUGGUUGCUCUGUGGUCUGGUGAUGUAGUUUGAUUGGUGUCUCUGUCUUGUACCUCCUGCUACCUAGGCUGGAGGUUUAAUUUUGUGAAAUAGAUUUUGCAUAUUUGUAUUUUUUAUUUUUAAUACUGUUUUCAGUAUAUAAGACAGGAUAUAUGGUUUUCAUUAUAUGCUCGUUGCUGAGUUGUUCACUUAGGGGUUAAAAAAAAUUACAUUAACUAUGUAAAGAUUGCUUUUCUGCAUUUUCUGAAAGGAUUCAUAUUGAUGAGGAAUUUGAAAUACUCUUGGUAAAUUUAGAAAUGCACUUUGGAUGUUUGUCUCCUUGCAUAGCCUCUACCUACAUAUGUUUGGUUACAAAACAGAGGUGAAGCAGAUAGAGAAAUGACAGUAAGGAACACUGUGUGUUGUAAAAGAAGUGGAAUGCCCAGGCUAGAUGUGGCUCUGGGCUGCCUGGUCUGGGGUUGGAGACCCUGCACAUAGCAGGGGGGUUGAAACUGAAUGAUCAUUGCAGUGCUUUUCAACCCAGGCCAUCCUGUGACUCUGUGAAUUUCUUGUAUAUUGAUAACUCUUUAGCAGAGGGUGUGAUUGGGCACGUUAUAUUAGGUUACUCUUCAUACAUGGGACCUCAUAGAAAAGAUGUGUGGGUUUUAAUUUAUCUAUUUUUUGUUUAGUCAUGUGGCUACUGAAUUGAUUCUUAAAAUAAAAAUAAAUAAAAAAUCCAAUAUAAUGAAAAUGUGCAAUGUAUGACACGUACCAUAGCUUAAAACGUCCCAGUCAUGAAUAAGCAUUAAGAACAAUUACUUGUAUCUUCACACCUUGUCCAGUGUACGUCACAGCUGAGGAACUAUGAAAAUUUGGACUAUAAUUCAAAUUUGAGGUACUUAAUUAACUGCAUUUAAAAAAAAAGUAGGAGAUCUGGUCUUGAUGAAGGCUUCUUAGUGUUCCUUCUGAGUAUUCUUGUAAUGCUAUAGAAAUUGUUUUAAAAUCAGUAGCAAUUAAUAGCCUUGUUUGGAAAGAAGAUACACAAAAUUCAGUUUUGCAUAGCUUAAAUACACAAAAUAUUUAGUGCUUAGUUUAUUGGAUAUGUACAAAUAAUGCAAACCUUUGUGAUGUUAUGUUAGACUGAUGCUUAACUGAAACCUGUUAUGGUAGUGUGCAGCUGUACUUCCUUAUCACUGAAUAUUCUGGACUAGAAGGGGCCUGCAGAGGUCAUUUAGUUUAAAUCUUUCCUAGCAGGGAUGACUUCAAAGUUCAACUGUAAUUUAUUGUUCCCAGUCUUUUUCGUAAAUGCACUUAAAGUGUUAUGUCUGAGCUGUGAAUUCCAGCCAGUCAGCCUCUGUUAUGGAGGUGGGCAUCCCGGAUGUCUCUGGUAUCUCAGCUAGUGCAGAGUGCAACAAAGAUAUCUGGUAGGAGCGGAGGAAUGGCCUCAUUUAAACUUGUUGAAGAAAAUAUGGAGUGCUUUCUGACUUCUUGUGCGAUGAAUUUCUCUGCACAACAGUUCUAGAGUGUGCUGCAGAUAGCAUGUACUCACCAAUGCACGUGAUAGAGAGGAGAAAAUGUAACUUAUGCAGACAUCUCUGCUGAUGCAGCUAACUGAUUUUUACUAGAAUAGUGUGCUGCUCUUCUAGCGUUGGUGACCUGUGUUAUAGCCUAGCACAGUACAGAGUCAGUUUCUGUAAGUUAUUACCAAACCUGGCAGGAGAGGAAAAAGCUGCACUGAAUACAGUGUAGGUUGCAGAGGAGGGGUACUGUGAGCGCUUUGGUUUGCCAUGGCUGGAGAGUUGUUAUUUCUUGAUUGAGGGGAUCAAACUGAGCCAUCCUGUCAUCUGUAGCUGGAAGGCAGUUGCCUGAGGUGGUGCUGGCAAUUCAAGUUUCAAUGGGAAUGAUUAGACUGGGGUUACCCAAAGGCUGCUGAUUAUUUUAUCCAAUCUGUCCUUGUUUGAACUUGUGUUGCUUACUUGAGAGCUCUCAUUCUGUUGCACUAGUAUAUCUUCAGCUUUUGCUGGGUUUGGUGAGAGCCUAUUCUUACUGGAACUUUGCUUUUGUACUUAGCUAAUUUAUCCAUUGAACAUAUUUUAUCCUAGUGGCUGGAAGAAAAGUAUGAUAGCAGAAAAUUGUUGGCAAGGAUAAGAGAUUACAGGUCACAGUCAUGUCUUUUCUUUUUUCACAUGCAUGUAGAAGGGACGUGAUGAUUAGCAAGAAGUUUUGUGCAGGAGCAGAAUACCUCUUAUAGACUGUCCUUACUGAUUGUGAUGUAUUGCCGUAGAUGAUGCUCUCUUAUUUUGUAUUUAAUGAAGUUUUUUUUAGUGGAAACAAUGAAAAUAAUAAUUUUUAGAAAGCUGUAAGUGAUGUAUUUUGGUAUUAGGAUCGUUGAAGUUUCAGUCCUUCAUUUUCAUUAGUCUUUUUUUUUGUGUUUUUCUGUUCCAGUUUCUUGCUACCACACUUACAUUUGAAAAGUAGCUGACUUUCAUUUGCAGCUCCUUGCAGAGAAUACUUCAUCUCUUUCUAUAAUACUAGAAAUUCCAGGUGAUCCCCAAAAUGUUUACCAAAUGUGGUUGAUAGUGCAAUAUGUGAUUGUCUUUUCCAUCAGGAAAGAUUUUAAGGAGAUUUUCUUGAAAUGUUCCAUUCCCUAGGCUGUGGGAUAAAAUAGCUUUGUGAAGAAAUGACCAAGUUUUGGGGAGCUUUGUGCUGGCUCUUUGUUUUAAUAGAAGCACAUUCCAUUUUGAACUGAAACUUUCCAAUAGUAGACUAACAACAAACAGUGGACUGUUCUAUACAGAGUGCCUCUAUUUGGUCUGUUAUGUAGGUUGCUCUGAAAGUAAUGCCUCCUAUUUAUUUCCAUGGAAACCAGCACAACUACAUAGAGUGCUGUGCUGAUGUCAGCAGACAGAGUUGAUUUCUCUUUCAUAGUGUCUGGUAUGAUGCUGUGUUUUGGCUUUAAGAGGAAAGACAGUGUUGAUAACGUUCCAGUGUUUUCAUUUGUUGCUGAGCAGUGCUGCACAGAGCCAAGGACAUUCUAGUUUCUCAGCUUCUUGUAUGGGUCCCCCAGUGAUGGGAACUAAGGGGGCACAGGGAGCUGAGAGGGGACAGAACCAGAACAGCUGACCUGAGCUGGCCCAAGUGUUAUUCC
rnacentral:lncRNA from 1 species